rnacentral:rRNA from 1 species
AACGAACGCUGGCGGCAUGCCUAACACAUGCAAGUCGAACGAGACCUUCGGGUCUAGUUGCGCUCGUGUGCUUAACGCCUGGGAACCUGCCCGUAGGUUCGGAGUCACUCCCCGUAGGGUGUGCUAAUGCCGGUGGAUGUCUUCGGAGCAAGGAUUUAUCGCCGUUGGGUGGGCCCGCGUUGGUUUAGCUAGUUGGUAGGGGAAAAGCAUAUCAACGGGACGAUGCAUAGCUGGUCUGUGAGGAUGCUCUGCCACGCUGGGACUGAGACACGGCCCAGACCCCUACGGGAGGGAGCAGUGGGGAAUAUUGGACACUGGGCGCAAGCCUGAUCAAGCAAUGCCGCGUGAGUGAUGAAGGCCUUAGGGUUGUAAAGCUCUUUUAGACGGGAUGAUAAUGACAGUACCGGGAGAAUAAGCUCCGGCUAACUCCGUG